rnacentral:rRNA from 1 species
UUAACACAUGCAAGUCGAACGGAAAGGCCCUGCUUUUGUGGGGUGCUCGAGUGGCGAACGGGUGAGUAACACGUGAGUAACCUGCCCUUGACUUUGGGAUAACUUCAGGAAACUGGGGCUAAUACCGGAUAGGAGCUCCUGCUGCAUGGUGGGGGUUGGAAAGUUUCGGCGGUUGGGGAUGGACUCGCGGCUUAUCAGCUUGUUGGUGGGGUAGUGGCUUACCAAGGCUUUGACGGGUAGCCGGCCUGAGAGGGUGACCGGCCACAUUGGGACUGAGAUACGGCCCAGACUCCUACGGGAGGCAGCAGUGGGGAAUAUUGCACAAUGGGCGGAAGCCUGAUGCAGCAACGCCGCGUGCGGGAUGACGGCCUUCGGGUUGUAAACCGCUUUCGCCUGUGACGAAGCGUGAGUGACGGUAAUGGGUAAAGAAGCACCGGCUAACUACGUGCCAGCAGCCGCGGUGAUACGUAGGGUGCGAGCGUUGUCCGGAUUUAUUGGGCGUAAAGGGCUCGUAGGUGGUUGAUCGCGUCGGAAGUGUAAUCUUGGGGCUUAACCCUGAGCGUGCUUUCGAUACGGGUUGACUUGAGGAAGGUAGGGGAGAAUGGAAUUCCUGGUGGAGCGGUGGAAUGCGCAGAUAUCAGGAGGAACACCAGUGGCGAAGGCGGUUCUCUGGGCCUUUCCUGACGCUGAGGAGCGAAAGCGUGGGGAGCGAACAGGCUUAGAUACCCUGGUAGUCCACGCUGUAAACGGUGGGUACUAGGUGUGGGGUCCAUUCCACGGGUUCCGUGCCGUAGCUAACGCUUUAAGUACCCCGCCUGGGGAGUACGGCCGCAAGGCUAAAACUCAAAGGAAUUGACGGGGCCCCGCACAAGCGGCGGAGCAUGCGGAUUAAUUCGAUGCAACGCGUAGAACCUUACCUGGGUUUGACAUGGAUCGGGAGUGCUCAGAGAUGGGUGUGCCUCUUUUGGGGUCGGUUCACAGGUGGUGCAUGGCUGUCGUCAGCUCGUGUCGUGAGAUGUUGGGUUAAGUCCCGCGACGAGCGCAACCCUUGUUCACUGUUGCCAGCACGUUAUGGUGGGGACUCAGUGGAGACCGCCGGGGUCAACUCGGAGGAAGGUGGGGAUGACGUCAAGUCAUCAUGCCCCUUAUGUCCAGGGCUUCACGCAUGCUACAAUGGCUGGUACAGAGAGUGGCGAGCCUGUGAGGGUGAGCGAAUCUCGGAAAGCCGGUCUCAGUUCGGAUUGGGGUCUGCAACUCGACCUCAUGAAGUCGGAGUCGCUAGUAAUCGCAGAUCAGCAACGCUGCGGUGAAUACGUUCCCGGGGCUUGUACACACCGCCCGUCAAGUCAUGAAAGUUGGUAACACCCGAAGCCGGUGGCCUAACCGUUGUGGGGGAGCCGUCGAAGGUGGGACUGGUGAUUAGGACUAAGUCAUA